AUUGAACGCUGGCGGCAGGCCUAACACAUGCAAGUCGAACGGUAGCACAGAGAGCUUGCUCUCGGGUGACGAGUGGCGGACGGGUGAGUAAUGUCUGGGAAACUGCCUGAUGGAGGGGGAUAACUACUGGAAACGGUAGCUAAUACCGCAUAACGUCGCAAGACCAAAGAGGGGGACCUUCGGGCCUCUUGCCAUCAGAUGUGCCCAGAUGGGAUUAGCUAGUAGGUGGGGUAACGGCUCACCUAGGCGACGAUCCCUAGCUGGUCUGAGAGGAUGACCAGCCACACUGGAACUGAGACACGGUCCAGACUCCUACGGGAGGCAGCAGUGGGGAAUAUUGGACAAUGGGCGAAAGCCUGAUCCAGCCAUGCCGCGUGUGUGAAGAAGGUCUUCGGAUUGUAAAGCACUUUAAGUUGGGAGGAAGGGUAUUCACCUAAUACGUGGGUACUUUGACGUUACCAACAGAAUAAGCACCGGCUAACUCUGUGCCAGCCGCCGCUGUAACAC
rnacentral:rRNA from 1 species